ACACCGACCCCGGGUAGGGGUAAAUACCCACCCUUGCAGAGGGAAGGAACAACCCUGCAUCUGACAAGCCACUUUAUGGGGUAAAAAACCCCUCCUGUGAUUAAAAAAAAAUCCUCCACCUCCAGCAUAAAAUCCCUCUUUCCCAACCACAAUAAUCGCCACUGUGGGGUAAACUUUCCCACAUUAUAUACUCCUCCUCAUCGGGUUAAAAGAGCCUCAAACUAAAUCCCUAUAGUCUAAUCCUUCGCCUCUAACAAUCCUUCAUAUAAUAAUCAGCAGCACCCCGAACGGUCACCCGCCACUCUCUAUAAUCCCCUGGACGGGGCGGGGACGGGGGGGGUCCCUAGCUUGGGCACUGAGUGAAGAGAGGCUGUCACCGUCCUCUCUUACAUGUCCAUCAAAUAGGCCUGUUUCUGAGGCUGGGUACAGCUCUUCCCCCCCCCCUUAUCCUUCUCCCCCACUCCCAGUACCGGCUCCUAGCCGGCUGCACCACCCUUAAGAACUCCGGAACGUUCGUCACGAUCCCGUCACAAUCCCCACCUUCUGGCGGGUGGACCUCAUUAAUAAAUCAUGAGUCCCGCCCCCUUAUUACUAAUUCAUGAGCGCACGCUACUAGGCUUCGUUAAUCAUUAAUCGCCGGCUCCACUGAGGGUUCGGUACCGUCGUGCCGGCUGCUCUCGCGCUGCUCCAACUGCCAGAGCGCGAGAACGGGCAGGCCCGGGCGGGCGACGGCACCAACCAAAAGGGCGGGCGUUACCACUUCAAUAAGGGGUAGAUAAAUGCGAUUCCCCCCCCCACAUUGUAAUUCACUGUAUACCUGCCUGCUUCUUUAACCAAGAACAUAUUUAUUUGUGUGGUCCGCAGAUGUACACUUGAAUACAGCUCCUUAAAGAAACUAUUUUGCCGGAGGGGAACAAAAUGCGAGAUGAUUUCCCCCGGCGAGGGUGGGAGAGGCUGAAAAAUGGUUUCUUCCACUGCCGUGGAUUCUGCCAGGGACUGUUUCUCCGGCUCUGGCAGGAAAGAACUAUCGUCACCGCUCUCGCCUCCCAGACCCCUCCUACCGAGCUUAUUUGCAUUGACGCAGCCGCCCGCCGCAGGAGGGGCAAGGACGCAAGCGCCGCUGGGCGUGGGAAAAAUGAAGCCGGUUGGGAGGAGAGAGACGUGGAGGUCUCCAGGAAUUCUUCAAUGACUCUAAUUCAAAUGGACAAUACCAGGAAUCUACUGUUGGUAGACUCACAGCAAGCCCUUCUGGGGAAAUGUGUAAACCAGUUUGACCAAGUGCAGGAGCUCUGCUGGAAAACUCAGAUCUUGGUGAAGGAACUCUUGAACAAAGGAACCUUGAAAUGGAAAAAAGAAUGCCUGUGAACUGAAGAGAGACACACUGAUUGGAGGGCCAGACCAUCAAAGGGGCAGAAGCUGUAGGGGUAAAGCCUGUCUUGUUCAUCCCCAGUGCUGGGACCGCCUGGGUAAUGUGGAGCCUACUUAAACUGGCGUGGAAAGGCUAAGUUAAGGCUACCACUAGGGUCGGGACAACAGCUCAGGUAACUCAAGUAACACCAUUGUGACAUCAGAGAUAACUGAACCAGUCACCUCUACAGGUAACUUUCAUGCAACAAUUCUAUUGGUUAUAAUGACUCAGUGAUAUGAGGGAGACUAGACAUACGUUAAGAAUUCUCACGGAUAGAUUAUUUGACUCAACUGCCAUUGCUCUCUAAAGAUUCCAUGGCUGCAUACUGGCUUGGCACCAGAGUUUGAAAAGGCUCCCUAUUGUGUCAGCUCCACUGUGUAUUUAGGCAUCACUGCUGGGAGAAUUGAAGCAGAAGCACAGGGCUUCCUUAAAAUGCAGAGAUGUUGGGACUUCAGGCUCUCUCCAGCACUCCUUUCACAUAAUACAAUCUCCAUGACACAGAUCUCUAAACCAAUAGGCAAUUGCAAAUUAAAGGCCAGUUUCAGCAGUGCACUGUAGCUGCUUUUGUGCUGCUCUGAUAAUGCAAAUUGGCUGAAAACCCAGUUUAACUGGUCAGUGCUCUCCGUCUGCUUUAAGCAACUGCCUUUAAAAUAUUUUCAAUGAUUUGUUCAUUAUUACAUAUCUUCAAAUUAUAAGAAAUAUUGAUUAGUGUAUUUUUUUGGGUUUCUUGUUUUGUGUUCAUGCACAAAUUUUUUAACCAACAAAAAAACAACCACCCAAGAAAAUUACAUUACAGAGAUGUUGUAGAUGCCACAAAAGCAAGCAUUGCAAACCCAGGAAAUUCAGAGCUAAGAUUACUCUUUAAAGAAAUCCAAACAAGUGAAGGUAAGAUAUGCCAAGUUAAACAUCAAAACAACCUUAUUCUGUCCUGUAGUGUCAGAAUGAGAGAAAUACCAAUGCAAAAAACCUAUUUUAAAUCACUUUUAAUCUGUGACUACAAAUACUAAAAUAACUACGUCAUAAUCGCAUGGUGUCUUACAAAGCAGAGUUAAGGUUGCUUGAAUGCCAUAACUGUUUAUUUCCGUACAUUAACAUGUUUGGGUUUUAAGUGAAAAUUUAACUCUGAAUAUAGGUUUCUGAGUAGGGUCACACAUUCAAAUUGAAAAGCUGCAAGGUGACAGACUUGUAUGGAAAGCACAAGGGCCACUUUAAUAAUCUCAUUCUCCCUCUCAUUGUGGAUUUGAGACCCGAACAUCUAUUUCCAUCCUACCCAAUGACAUAGCUGACAGAGUACCUCAUUCUCAAAGCAGUCUAUAGGCGAUAUUUACAGAUUACCUAUUCUACAGUUUUUCUGUUACAUACACACAGAGGAUAAAGGGAAGAUGACUUAAAACUUGAAAAUUUCUCAAUACAUUUGAAAAAAUUUCUUGAGUAAUUGUGAUAGUUAUUUUGGAUGUCAUUGCACAUCAAGUGGAUCGUGUGUAAUUUGGCAGGACAUCAGGCAAAGUUACUAGUUUGCAUAACUUUAAUUCUGAAUUUCUAGAUUUUUAAACAAUUGCUUUUUGUGACUGCUUUACCAUAAUUUAGUAUGUUGUAACUAUAGAGGAGAAAAACCCUACCAACGUUUGAAGGCUAAGAAAUAAUUGCUCUCUCUUUACCACUUUAAAAGACUUGUCUUCAUGGGGAUUUUUACCAUCAGAACUAUACCAGUAUAAUUAUGUUGCUAUAGUUUGACUGGUAUAACUCCCCAUGUGGACACUAUUAUUCCAGUGUACGAGGGGGUCCUUUUCCAGUUUAACUUAUGUCAUAUAUUACACUGGAAUAAGAUUGUCCACAUGCGGAGUUAUAUCAGUAUAACUAUAGCAACAUAAUUAUAGUGGUAUAAUUUUUAUGUAAAUGUCUCUGUGUUGACAAGCCCUUUCCCUUUGUCUGGCAAUUUAUUUUGGCUCUCCAUAUUUCAGUUCAUUCAUGUGCUGGACUAAAACAGAGUGGAUCAAGGCAAUGAAAACAGUGAGAAUUCAGUGUAUAUAAGUAGGCGGUCAGGUUCUCAGGAAACCAGACAGUAAUAAACAUAUCUGUUUCAUGAAAAUAUUCACUUUAAAUUACAUUGUCCUUGUUCUACAAUGUUUGCAUUUCUGUUGGGUUUAAUAAAAGGGUAAUAAAUAAAGUUUUUUGUUCUCUUUGAGGAUCAUAAACUAAUAUACCAAAUAGCUAAAAAUUGGUAAAACAUUAUCUCUCAUAAAAUGCAACUGGGUUUUCCGGCAAAUACAACACUAGGGAAUGAUUUGAAAGCUUUUUAGUCUCUACAGCAGGUCCUUUGUAGCCUAGUACCAUAGCACAUCAACUAUGUAAUUUCUCCAUCUCCUAUAUCACAGUUAGGGUUCCUUAAAUAUGUGGGGCACAGGACAGUUGUCAAAAGUACAACAAUAGCCAACUUACAUGAAAAUAGUAUUCACGAAGUCUUUAAUAAUAAGACUCUGUUAGAUGAUAAAGGUAAAUCUUAAGCAAUGUUUUCCAAAAUGUGCUUAGAGUGAACUAUAAACAUGCCUCACUUUUAUAGAUCUUUAAGGCUAGAAAGGACUAUUAUGUCAAUAACUCAUGCCAUAGAAUAUUAUCCAGUAACUUCUGAAUCAAGGCCAUAACUCCUAGUUGAACUAGACCAUAUCUUCUAGAAAGCCAGCCAGUCUUGAUUUAAAUACCCUUCAGGUAAUGGAGAAUCCAGUACAUCCAUAGCAAAAGUUAAUUAUCCUCACUGUCAAAAAAUUGCACCUUAUUUCUUAUCUGAAUUUGUCUACGUUCAGUUUCAAGCCAUUGGAUCUUGUUAUGCCUUUGCCUUCUAGAUUAAAGAGCUCUUUAUGAUCAGAAAUCUUCUCUUCAAGUACGUACUUGCAGAUAAAAUGACCACUAUGCACUUUGUAUUCUGUGUUGUAAUUGAAAUCAAUAUAUUUGAAAAUGUAGAAAACAUCCAAUAAAUAAAUGGUAUUCUAUUAUUGCUUAAUAGCAUGAUAAAUCAUGAUUAAUUUUUAAUCGUUUGACAGUUCUAAUAUUUUUUGAGAUGGGGCAACCAGAACUAAAUGCAGUAUUCAAGGUGUGGGCAUACUAUGGAUUUAUAUAGUGGCAUUAUGAUACUUUGUGUCUUAUGAUCUAUCCCUUUCCUAAUGGUUCCUAACUUUCUUUUACCUUUUUGACUGCCGCUUCACAUUGAGCAGAUGUUCUCAGAGAACGAUCCAUAAUAAUUCCAAGAUCUCUUUGUUGAGUGGUAACAGCUAAUGUAGACCCCAUCGUUUUGUAUAUACAGUACAAUCUCUUUAUCAUGAAAGUGGAUCUUUCAAAUAUAGACUUUUAAGUACAAAAUAACUGCAUUUAAAAAUAAAACAAUGUAAAAACUUUAGCGCCUACAGGUACACUCAGUCCUACGUCUUGUUUGGCCAGUUGCUCAGACAAACAAGUUUGUUUACAUUUGCAGGCGAUAAUGCUGCCUGCUUCUUGUUUACAAUGUUACCUGAAAGUGAGAACAGGCAUUUGCAUGGCACUGUUCUAGCCAGCGACGCAACAUAUUUACAUGCUAAAGGCACUAAAGAGUCAUAUGUCCCGUCAGGCUUCAGCCACCAUUCCAGAGGACAUGCAUCCAUGCUGAUGACAGGUUCGACUUGACAGUGAUCCAAAGCAGUGCAGACUGACGCACGUUCAUUUUCAUCAUCUGAGUCAGAUGCCAACAGCAGAAGGUUGAUUUUCUUUUUUGGUGGUUUGGGUUCUCUAGUUUUCGCAUUGGAGUGUUGCUCUUUUAAGAAUUCUGAAAGCAUGCUCCAUAUCUCAUCUCUCUCAGAUUUUGGAAGAUACUUCAGAUUGUUAAACCUUGGGUCAAGUGCUGUAGUUAUCUUUAGAAAUCUCACAUUGGUACCUUCUUUGUGUUUUGUCAAAUCUGCAGUGAAAGCGUUCUUAAAAUGAACAACAUGUGCUGGGUCAUCAUCUGAAACUGCCAUAACAUGAAAUAUAUGGCAGAAUGCGGGUAAAACAGAGCAGGAGACAUACAAUUCUCCCUCAAGGAGUUCAGUCAGAAAUUUAAUUAAUGCAUUUGUUUAAUGAGUGUCAUUAUCAUAGAAGCAUGACCUCUGAAAUGGUGGCCAAAACAUGAAGGGGCAUACGAAUGUUUAGCAUAUCUGGCGUGUAAUUACCUUGCAAUGCUGGCUACAAAAAUGCCAUGUGAAUGCCUGGUCUCAUUUUCUGGUGACAUAAAUAAAAAGUAGGCAGCAUUAUCUCUCGUAAAUGUACACAAACUUGUUUGUCUUAGCGAUUGUCUCUACAAGAAGUAGGACUGAGUGGACUUGUAGGCUCUAAAGUUUUACGUUUUGUUUUUGAGUUAUAUAUUAAAAAAAAUCUACAUUUGUAAGUUGCCCUUUCAUGUUAGAGAUUGCACUACAGUACUUGUAUGAGGAAAAUUGAAAAAUACUAUUUCUUUAUCAUUUUUACAGUGCAAAUAUUUGAUCAAAAAUAUAAAAUAAGCAAUGUAUACUUUGUAUUCUGUGUUGUAAUUAAAAUCCAUAUAUUUGAAAAUGUAAAAACAUCCAAAAUAUUUAAUAAAUUU